rnacentral:rRNA from 1 species
GACUUUUGCUGGCGGCGUGCUUAACACAUGCAAGUCGAACGCUGAAGCCCGAGCUUGCUCGGGUGGAUGAGUGGCGAACGGGUGAGUAACACGUGAGUAACCUGCCCAUGUCUCUGGGAUAAGCGCUGGAAACGGCGUCUAAUACUGGAUACGAGCAUCCACUGCAUGGUGAGGUGUUGGAAAGAUUUAUCGGACAUGGAUGGACUCGCGGCCUAUCAGCUUGAUGGUGAGGUAAUGGCUCACCAUGGCGACGACGGGUAGCCGGCCUGAGAGGGUGACCGGCCACACUGGGACUGAGACACGGCCCAGACUCCUACGGGAGGCAGCAGUGGGGAAUAUUGCACAAUGGGCGCAAGCCUGAUGCAGCAACGCCGCGUGAGGGAUGACGGCCUUCGGGUUGUAAACCUCUUUUGUCAGGGAAGAAGCCUUCGGGUGACGGUACCUGGAGAAAAAGCACCGGCUAACUACGUGCCAGCAGCCGCGGUAAUACGUAGGGUGCAAGCGUUGUCCGGGAUUAUUGGGCGUAAAGAGCUCGUAGGCGGCUUGUCGCGUCUGCUGUGAAAACCCGAGGCUCAACCUCGGGCCUGCAGUGGGUACGGGCAGGCUAGAGUGCGGUAGGGGAAAUUGGAAUUCCCUGGGUAAGCGGUGAAAUGCGCAGAUAUCAUGAGGAACACCGAAGGGGAAAGGCAAAUCUCUGGCCCGCUACUGACGGUGAGGAGCGAAAGCAUGGGGAGCGAACAGGAUAAGAUACCCUGGUAGUCCAUGCCGUAAAAGUUGGGAACUAGAUGUAGGGCCUGUUCCACGGGUUCUGUGUCGUAGCUAACGCAUUAAGUUCCCCGCCUGGGGAGUACGGCCGCAAGGCUAAAACUCAAAGGAAUUGACGGGGGCCCGCACAAGCGGCGGAGCAUGCGGAUUAAUUCGAUGCAACGCGAAGAACCUUACCAAGGCUUGACAUAUACGAGAACACUGCAGAGAUGCAGGACUCUUUGGACACUCGUAUACAGGUGGUGCAUGGUUGUCGUCAGCUCGUGUCGUGAGAUGUUCGGUUAAGUCCGGCAACGAGCGCAACCCUCGUCCUAUGUUGCCAGCACGUUAUGGUGGGAACUCAUGGGAUACUGCCGUGGUCAACACGGAGGAAGGUGGGGAUGACGUCAAAUCAUCAUGCCCCUUAUGUCUUGGGCUUCACGCAUGCUACAAUGGCCGAUACAAAGGGCUGCGAUACCGCGAGGUGGAGCGAAUCCCAAAAAGUCGGUCUCAGUUCGGAUUGGGGUCUGCAACUCGACCCCAUGAAGUCGGAGUCGCUAGUAAUCGCAGAUCAACAACGCUGCGGUGAAUACGUUCCCGGGCCU